rnacentral:rRNA from 1 species
CCUACGGGAGGCAGCAGUGGGGAAUAUUGCACAAUGGGCGCAAGCCUGAUGCAGCGACGCCGCGUGCGGGAUGGAGGUCUUCGGGUUGUAAACCGCUUUUGUUCAAGGGCCAGGCUCGGUCUUUAGCCGCUGUGCGUGGAUUGUUCGAAUAAGCACCGGCUAGAUAUGUGCCAGCAGCCGCGGUAAUACGGAGGGUGCAAGCGUUAUCCGGCUUUAUUGGGCGUAAAGGGCUUGUAGGCGGUUCGUCGCGUCCGGUGUGAAAGUCCCUCGCUUAACGGUGGAUCCGGCCCGGGUACGGGCGGGCUUGAGAGCGGGAGGGGAGACUGGAAUGCCCGGUGUAACGGUGGAAUGUGUAGAUAUCGGGAAGAACACCAAUGGCGAAGGCAGGUCUCUGGGCCGUUACUGACGCUGAGGAGCGAAAGCGUGGGGAGCGAACAGGAUUAGAUACCCUAGUAGUC